rnacentral:tRNA from 1 species
UGAGGUAUGGUGUAAUGGUUAGCACAAUUCUCUCUAAAAGAAUAGGUGAAGGUUCAAAUCCUUCUGCCUUAA